rnacentral:rRNA from 1 species
UACGUAGGGGGCAAGCGUUGUCCGGAUUUAUUGGGCGUAAAGAGCGUGUAGGCGGCCAGAUAGGUCAGCUGUGAAAACUCGAGGCUCAACCUCGAGACGUCGGUUGAAACCAUCUGGCUAGAGUCCGGAAGAGGAGAGUGGAAUUCCCGGUGUAGCGGUGAAAUGCGCAGAUAUCGGGAAGAACACCCGUGGCGAAGGCGGUUCUCUGGGACGGUACUGACGCUGAGACGCGAAAGCGUGGGGAGCGAACAGG